CUAUAAGUAAAAUAUCUUACUAAAGACAGUACUAAAUAAUAAAAACAACAUUCAUUUUGUAUAUUUUGUUAAGAUUUUCCACAGAUUCUGCAAGGGGUGCCAAAUCUUUUGCAUACCACUGUAUCUGUAUCGCGAAAAGAUACAUUUAACCAAAGGGUGUUUGUUUGUGGUUGAAGAUCCAGGAAACUCAGUAGUGGUGGGCGUUUAAAACAUAUCAGAUCAGAGUUUAUAUAACAUCACGCUGGGAAAAUAUUACAAGUGUGAAACAGACUUUAAUUCGGUCAGAUUUCUUUAAAAGCUCAUCAAAGCCAGAUAAUGGCGGGAGCAUCUUGUGUUCUGGUGUUCGGACCGGUCCUGCACACGGCCUGGACUUCUGACAAUCAAAAGAUAUUUUGACAGGACCAGCGAAGCUUGCAUCACCUCAUCUUCAAAAUGGCAACCCACGUCAGAAAACAACAGAUCCUACCCUCAAAAACAACCGGCACCCUCCAAAGUUAGAUUCAAUACUUUUGAUUUUAUUUAGGUUCUGUUCUCCAUAUAGCUACUAGAUCAGAAAACUGUUCAUUACAAUUGUAAGGUGCUACAAAGAACCGUAAAAACCUUCAAAUACUGUACCGUUGUUUUGAGUGUGUUUGUCAAGUAUGGUUUUAAGCCAAUUAUUUUAUACAAAUAAAUAAAAACAUGACAACAUGA